CAGUCGCCGCGGUAAAACGGAGGGCGCGAGCGUUACCCGGAUUUACUGGGCGUAAAGGGCGUGUAGGCGGCCUGGGGCGUCCCAUGCGAAAGGCCACGGCUCAACCGUGGAGGAGCGUGGGAUACGCUCAGGCUAGAGGGUGGGAGAGGGUGGUGGAAUUCCCGGAGUAGCGGUGAAAUGCGCAGAUACCGGGAGGAACGCCGAUGGCGAAGGCAGCCACCUGGUCCACUUCUGACGCUGAGGCGCGAAAGCGUGGGGAGCAAACCGGAUUAGAUACCCGGGUAGUCCCUGUCUCUUAUAC
rnacentral:rRNA from 1 species